AUUCCCGCACUCUGAUGAGUCCAAUAGCAUAGUGAAAGGAGUGGCCUUCUUUUAUAUUUUUAUUUUGUAAUUAUUGCCACUUUUGGCAUCAGUCAUAUAUAUGUAAUUGGAACUCACAUGUACUUUAUAAGAGAUUUGUAUUAAUUGGUUCUGCUGCAUAAACUUUUAUCAUGCACUCGUUCUUUUAUUUUUGUAUCUGAU
rnacentral:lncRNA from 1 species